GAGCAACGGAUGCAUGUGGAAAGCCAGGUAACAGGACAGAAGGUUCUGGAAGGGUGGUUUCCUGCAAAGCAUCAGUCACAAUGAAGAAGACUUUUCUAACAUAAUUUCAACUGGGCUUGAAUUAAUUUGCCAAGUGUAACUGUAGCUUGGACAGAGUUGCCAGUGAACCGAUUCCUGUGAGAUUUAGUUUGCAGACCACUGCCUCCAUCGGCAUCUCCAGAGCUAGCUGCAGAGAUGAGGAAGACAGCAGGGAACAGCACAUGUUGGAGUUCAACUCCGGCUAAGAGGAAGCAGUGGUGUUAAUAUGCCUCAGAUCGAAGAGUAGACGUAAACACGGUCUGCUGAGCGCUGGAGUAAAGAUGUAGAACAGGAUGCCUGCUCCGAGCUGUGCAUCUUCUUCAGAAGCACAGGGUGAAGGCAAAACCCAGCAUCCCAGUGCUGUACCGUCUGCACAGAGCUGGAGCCCACCCCUUCUCCAGCCACGUGAUCACCCCUUCUCCAGCCACAUGAUCACCCCUUCUCCAGCCACGUGAUCACCCCUUCUCCAGCCACGUGAUCACCAGCCCUCUAAACCAUGAAGGUCAAGCCCGAUUUUGCUUUGGUUUUCUUUCAGCUCUUGAAGAAGGAGCUUCGACUCAGGUUUCGCUCUGGAAUAGCGAUGCGGGUGCUGAUUCAUUUUGCAAUAGCAUCUACCCCAACACAGCACUGACCCAGGCUCUGCCCAGCACGUUGAGUGACAACAUUUCUGAUAUCGAACUAUCCUUGCAUUUUAAAGACUCACCAGAUUUUAUUGAGAUGUAUUAUUCUUGUGACAGAAUCGUGUAUCAAUUUAACAUGCACAUAUUGAUGUCUAGCUUCCUGCAUGAAAUUACUUACUGCAUCAUCCUUUUCUUUGAAGCUUUGUCUGAUUUUAUGUCUAAAAACUUCUGGUCUCAUACAUAAUCUACCAUAAUUUUAACAUUCCAAAGGAAAUAAUAAAUGGCUUGGGUUAAUCUGUCCCUUGGCUUUAUCUGUCUGUACAAAAUCACCUUGCUGGGGUCUUUUGUUGAGGAGAAGUUGGCAGCUUAUUCUUAUUUCAUAUUCCCUUACAUUUCCAGUUUAUUUUUAAUUAAUCGGUACUGAAUGUCUAUUUUAUCUAGACCUUGUUAACUCUAUUUCGUCAUAAUAAUCUCAUAUAUCUACUUUUCUGUAAUUAAAUUCUCCUUUUUAUUAUACAUAUACUUUGAAAUUUCUGCUCCUAAUCACUUUUUCCAAGGGUUUGUCUACUUUGUGAGUUUCUUUUUAAAGAAACUGUUUUGGGGCAAGAAUUGUUGAUUUUUUUCACUAUUACCCUUUGUAAUCACUUUAUAAUCGCGUUUACAUUUUUCGUUCUCAAAGUGUCUUAAGUUGAACACUCACUCAUUUUUAUAAUAUUUCAAUUUGUUAAAAUGAUUGAUAGAUGGUAUUUCCAUAACCAUUACUUGGAAUCUUUAUAUUUUUCUAUUUAGAUUUUCUUUUAAACCUUCAAGUUAUUUAUAAAUGUGCGUUGGUUCCCAACUGGGAAGAAUUGAUGGCUACUUAACAGGUUUUAUAUGAAAAAGGAAACUUAUUUGUACACGGUAUUUUUAAACCACAUCAUAUAUUUAUUUUAUAUUUUAUUUAUUAUAUUACAUAUUCUGUAACCAU